GACAUUGAGUCAGAAAACGAUUG
rnacentral:siRNA from 1 species